CGCCUCCUGCAAAAAUCAACGUAUAAGAGGUCCUACCUGCCCAGUGACUAAGUUAAACGGCCGCGGUAUUUUGACCGUGCAAAGGUAGCGCAAUCACUUGUCUUUUAAAUAAAGACCUGUAUGAAUGGUGAAACGAGGGCUUAACUGUCUCCCUUUUCUAAUCAGUGAAAUUGAUCUGCCCGUGCAGAAGCGGGUAUAAAUAUACAAGACGAGAAGACCCUAUGGAGCUUUAGACAUAAAGCCAUCUAUGUUAAAAAUCCCUUAUAAAAGGAGCAAAACAAAAUAGUAACUGGCCAACGUCUUCGGUUGGGGCGACCACGGGGAAAAGCAAAUCCCCCACGUGGAACGGGAAAACCUCCUAAAACCACGAGGUACACCUCUAAGUCACAGUAUUUCUGACCAAAGGAUCCGGCACUUAGCCGAUCAACGAACCAAGUUACCCUAGGGAUAACAGCGCAAUCCCCUUCGAGAGUCCUUAUCGACAAGGGGGUUUACGACCUCGAUGUUGGAUCAGGACAUCCUAAUGGUGCAGCCGCUAUUAAGGGUUCGUUUGUUCAACGAUUAAAGUCCU
rnacentral:rRNA from 1 species